rnacentral:rRNA from 1 species
GACGAACGCUGGCGGUGUGCUUAACACAUGCAAGUGGUGCGACGAACCAGAGCUUGCUCUGGGGCAAAGCCGCGAACGGGUGAGUAACACGUGGGUAAUCUACCCCGAUGACCGGGACAACCCGAGGAAACUCGGGCUAAUACCGGAUGUGGUACGGAGACAUAAGUCUCUUUACUAAAGGUAGCUUCGGCUUCCGCAUUGGGAGGGGCCCGCGGCCCAUUAGCUAGUUGGUGGGGUCAAGGCCUACCAAGGCAACGAUGGGUAGCUGGUCUGAGAGGACGAUCAGCCACACUGGGACUGAGACACGGCCCAGACUCCUACGGAGGCAGCAGUGGGGAAUCUUGCGCAAUGCGCGAAAGCGUGACGCAGCAACACCGCGUGAGGGAAGACGGCCUUAGGGUUGUAAACCUCUUUCAGAUGGGACGAAGGUGAUGCGGUGAAUAGCCGAUGUCAUUGACGGUACCGUCAGAAGAAGCUCCGGCUAACUACGUAGCCAGCAGCC